rnacentral:tRNA from 3 species
GCGGUCUCUCCCCUAUUGGCGAAGGGCCCCUGGCUGUAACCCAGGGCUUUCGAGUGUGGUGGUUCGAAUCCAUCAGGCCGCAC